rnacentral:rRNA from 1 species
AUUGAACGCUGGCGGAAUGCUUUACACAUGCAAGUCGAACGGCAGCACGGGGCAACCUGGUGGCGAGUGGCGAACGGGUGAGUAAUAUAUCGGAACGUGCCCAAUCGUGGGGAUAACGUAGCGAAGUUACGCUAAUACCGCAUACGCUCUACGGAGGAAAGCGGGGCCGCAAGGCCUCGCACUAUAGGAGCGGCCGAUAUCGGAUUAGCUAGUUGGCGGGGUAAAAGCCCACCAAGGCUACGAUCCGUAGCUGGUCUGAGAGGAUGAUCAGCCACACUGGAACUGAGACACGGUCCAGACUCCUACGGGAGGCUG